rfam:Actinoalloteichus hymeniacidonis strain HPA177(T) (=DSM 45092(T)), complete genome.
GGCCAGGUAGCUCAGUUGGUACGAGCGUCCGCCUGAAAAGCGGAAGGUCGCCGGUUCGAUCCCGGCCCUGGCCA